GACGAACGCUGGCGGCGUGCUUAACACAUGCAAGUCGAACGGAAAGGCCCUGCUUUUGUGGGGUGCUCGAGUGGCGAACGGGUGAGUAACACGUGAGUAACCUGCCCUUGACUUUGGGAUAACUUCAGGAAACUGGGGCUAAUACCGGAUAGGCGCUCCUGCUGCAUGGUGGGGGUUGGAAAGUUUCGGCGGUUGGGGAUGGACUCGCGGCUUAUCAGCUUGUUGGUGGGGUAGUGGCUUACCAAGGCUUUGACGGGUAGCGGGCCUGAGAGGGUGACCGGCCACAUUGGGACUGAGAUACGGCCCAGACUCCUACGGGAGGCAGCAGUGGGGAAUAUUGCACAAUGGGCGGAAGCCUGAUGCAGCAACGCCGCGUGCGGGAUGACGGCCUUCGGGUUGUAAACCGCUUUCGCCUGUGACGAAGCGUGAGUGACGGUAAUGGGUAAAGAAGCACCGGCUAACUACGUG
rnacentral:rRNA from 1 species